rnacentral:sRNA from 1 species
GGGGGUGGAGCUGGUUGAAGGAACGGGGCAGUCCCCUGAGGAGCGGGGCUGGUUGAAACGCUAGGGGCGGGAUCUGGCGGAGUGGAAGAACCGCGGCAGGGGCCAAGCCUCCUCAACUAUGACCUCAACCGGCCAGGAUUCCACCACAACCAGGCAGCGAAGAAGUAGGCAGAACCCCCAGUCGCCCCCUCAGGACUCCAGUGUCACUUCGAAGCGAAAUAUUAAAAAGGGAGCCGUUCCCCGCUCUAUCCCCAAUCUAGCGGAGGUAAAGAAGAAAGGCAAAAUGAAGAAGCUCGGCCAAGCAAUGGAAGAAGACCUAAUCGUGGGACUGCAAGGGAUGGAGCUGAACCUUGAGGCUGAAGCACUGGCUGGCACUGGCUUGGUGUUGGAUGAGCAGCUAAAUGAAUUCCAUUGCCUCUGGGAUGACAGCUUCCCGGAAGGCCCUGAGCGGCUCCAUGCCAUCAAGGAGCAACUGAUCCAGGAGGGCCUCCUAGAUCGCUGCGUGUCCUUUCAGGCCCGGUUUGCUGAAAAGGAAGAGCUGAUGUUGGUUCACAGGUGAAGGCUUGGGAGCCUUGUAGGGAUGGGGAGGAGCCUGCCCUGGACAAACCAGGGCAAGCUAAACGCUUUGGGAAGCAAUGUCAUGGUCUCUGCAGCCAGCCUUGGGCAAGUCGCUGAGCCUUUCUGAAUCUGUGUCAUCGCCUGUAACAAGGGGACCAGUAAACAUAAGUUCCUCAGGAGAGUUUGAUGUGUGUCAGGUGCUUAGAACAGGGCCUGAUAUAUAAUCAGCCCAUGAUGAGCUAUUACUGUUAUCAUGAUCUGAUUGUGUGAAUAGAUGGUGGAUGUGUGGACAGAGUGAUCGGGGUUCCCCCAGGGGCUUCCAGAUUUAGAGGCCUGGUGCUAUGUGGCUUGAGGAAAGCUAGCUUCCAGAGCAGGUAUCUGAGCUGAACUUUAAGAGGAGAAAAAGAGUGAGUCAGAUGAAGAGGGUGACUGAGGGAAGGGACGAACAGACAGCUGAACCAGUGUGGCCAAAGGCCUGAAAGUAGGAUUUGGUGUGGCUACUGCAGGGGAGCAGAGAACAUUACUGGAACUGAGGCGGGCUAGGGAAGAAACAGAAUGUGUCUUAUAUCCUGGCUAUUCCUUCAGGUUGACAGUUGGGGGAGCCAAGCCCUAAUUUGACCAGGGGGUUGGUGUAUGGACAGCUCAGCUGGGGAAGAGACAGGGCCCUGAAUCUCAUCUCCCAUCUGUGUCUAGCCUAGAAUAUAUUGAUCUGAUGGAAACAACCCAGUACAUGAAUGAGGGAGAACUCCGUGUCCUAGCAGACACCUACGACUCAGUUUAUCUGCAUCCGAACUCAUACUCCUGUGCCUGCCUGGCCUCAGGCUCUGUCCUCAGGCUGGUGGAUGCGGUCCUGGGGGCUGAGAUCCGGAAUGGCAUGGCCAUCAUUAGGCCUCCUGGACAUCACGCCCAGCACAGUCUUAUGGAUGGCUAUUGCAUGUUCAACCACGUGGCUGUGGCAGCCCGCUAUGCUCAACAGAAACACCGCAUCCGGAGGGUCCUUAUCGUAGAUUGGGAUGUGCACCACGGUCAAGGAACACAGUUCACCUUCGACCAGGACCCCAGUGUCCUCUAUUUCUCCAUCCACCGCUACGAGCAGGGUAGGUUCUGGCCCCACCUGAAGGCCUCUAACUGGUCCACCACAGGUUUCGGCCAAGGCCAAGGAUAUACCAUCAAUGUGCCUUGGAACCAGGUGGGGAUGCGGGAUGCUGACUACAUUGCUGCUUUCCUGCACGUCCUGCUGCCAGUCGCCCUCGAGUUCCAGCCUCAGCUGGUCCUGGUGGCUGCUGGAUUUGAUGCCCUGCAAGGGGACCCCAAGGUAAGGCAGGCUCCUUGGGGCGGCAGGUGGGUUGCAUGGAGCCAGGCUGACCCUCCAUGUCCCCCCAGGGUGAGAUGGCCGCCACUCCGGCAGGGUUCGCCCAACUAACCCACCUGCUCAUGGGUCUGGCAGGAGGCAAGCUGAUCCUGUCUCUGGAGGGUGGCUACAACCUCCGCGCCCUGGCUGAAGGCGUCAGUGCUUCGCUCCACACCCUUCUGGGAGACCCUUGCCCCAUGCUGGAGUCACCUGGUGCCCCCUGCCGGAGUGCCCAGGCUUCAGUUUCCUGUGCUCUGGAAGCCCUUGAGCCCUUCUGGGAGGUUCUUGUGAGAUCAACUGAGACCGUGGAGAGGGACAACAUGGAGGAGGACAAUGUAGAGGAGAGCGAGGAGGAAGGACCCUGGGAGCCCCCUGUGCUCCCAAUCCUGACAUGGCCAGUGCUACAGUCUCGCACAGGGCUGGUCUAUGACCAAAAUAUGAUGAAUCACUGCAACUUGUGGGACAGCCACCACCCUGAGGUACCCCAGCGCAUCUUGCGGAUCAUGUGCCGUCUGGAGGAGCUGGGCCUUGCCGGGCGCUGCCUCACCCUGACACCGCGCCCUGCCACAGAGGCUGAGCUGCUCACCUGUCACAGUGCUGAGUACGUGGGUCAUCUCCGGGCCACAGAGAAAAUGAAAACCCGGGAGCUGCACCGUGAGAGUUCCAACUUUGACUCCAUCUAUAUCUGCCCCAGUACCUUCGCCUGUGCACAGCUUGCCACUGGCGCUGCCUGCCGCCUGGUGGAGGCUGUGCUCUCAGGAGAGGUUCUGAAUGGUGCUGCUGUGGUGCGUCCCCCAGGACACCACGCAGAGCAGGAUGCAGCUUGCGGUUUUUGCUUUUUCAACUCUGUGGCUGUGGCUGCUCGCCAUGCCCAGGCUAUCAGUGGGCAUGCCCUACGGAUCCUGAUUGUGGAUUGGGAUGUCCACCACGGUAAUGGAACUCAGCACAUGUUUGAGGAUGACCCCAGUGUGCUAUAUGUGUCCCUGCACCGCUAUGAUCAUGGCACCUUCUUCCCCAUGGGGGAUGAGGGUGCCAGCAGCCAGAUCGGCCGGGCUGCGGGCACAGGCUUCACCGUCAACGUGGCAUGGAACGGGCCCCGCAUGGGUGACGCUGACUACCUAGCUGCCUGGCAUCGCCUGGUGCUUCCCAUUGCCUACGAGUUUAACCCAGAACUGGUGCUGGUCUCAGCUGGCUUUGAUGCUGCACGGGGGGACCCGCUGGGGGGCUGCCAGGUGUCACCUGAGGGUUAUGCCCACCUCACCCACCUGCUGAUGGGCCUUGCCAGUGGCCGCAUUAUCCUUAUCCUAGAGGGUGGCUAUAACCUGACAUCCAUCUCAGAGUCCAUGGCUGCCUGCACUCGCUCCCUCCUUGGAGACCCACCACCCCUGCUGACCCUGCCACGGCCCCCACUAUCAGGGGCCCUGGCCUCAAUCACUGAGACCAUCCAAGUCCAUCGCAGAUACUGGCGCAGCUUACGGGUCAUGAAGGUAGAAGACAGAGAAGGACCCUCCAGUUCUAAGUUGGUCACCAAGAAGGCACCCCAACCAGCCAAACCUAGGUUAGCUGAGCGGAUGACCACACGAGAAAAGAAGGUUCUGGAAGCAGGCAUGGGGAAAGUCACCUCGGCAUCAUUUGGGGAAGAGUCCACUCCAGGCCAGACUAAGUCAGAGACAGCUGUGGUGGCCCUCACUCAGGACCAGCCCUCAGAGGCAGCCACAGGGGGAGCCACUCUGGCCCAGACCAUUUCUGAGGCAGCCAUUGGGGGAGCCAUGCUGGGCCAGACCACCUCAGAGGAGGCUGUCGGGGGAGCCACUCCGGACCAGACCACCUCAGAGGAGACUGUGGGAGGAGCCAUUCUGGACCAGACCACCUCAGAGGAUGCUGUUGGGGGAGCCACGCUGGGCCAGACUACCUCAGAGGAGGCUGUAGGAGGAGCUACACUGGCCCAGACCACCUCGGAGGCAGCCAUGGAGGGAGCCACACUGGACCAGACUACGUCAGAGGAGGCUCCAGGGGGCACCGAGCUGAUCCAAACUCCUCUAGCCUCGAGCACAGACCACCAGACCACCCCAACCUCACCUGUGCAGGGAACUACACCCCAGAUAUCUCCCAGUACACUGAUUGGGAGUCUCAGGACCUUGGAGCUAGGCAGCGAAUCUCAGGGGGCCUCAGAAUCUCAGGCCCCAGGAGAGGAGAACCUACUAGGAGAGGCAGCUGGAGGUCAGGACAUGGCUGAUUCGAUGCUGAUGCAGGGAUCUAGGGGCCUCACUGAUCAGGCCAUAUUUUAUGCUGUGACACCACUGCCCUGGUGUCCCCAUUUGGUGGCAGUAUGCCCCAUACCUGCAGCAGGCCUAGACGUGACCCAACCUUGUGGGGACUGUGGAACAAUCCAAGAGAAUUGGGUGUGUCUCUCUUGCUAUCAGGUCUACUGUGGUCGUUACAUCAAUGGCCACAUGCUCCAACACCAUGGAAAUUCUGGACACCCGCUGGUCCUCAGCUACAUCGACCUGUCAGCCUGGUGUUACUACUGUCAGGCCUAUGUCCACCACCAGGCUCUCCUAGAUGUGAAGAACAUCGCCCACCAGAACAAGUUUGGGGAGGAUAUGCCCCACCCACACUAAGCCCCAGAAUACGGUCCCUCUUCACCUUCUGAGGCCCACGAUAGACCAGCUGUAGCUCAUUCCAGCCUGUACCUUGGAUGAGGGGUAGCCUCCCACUGCAUCCCAUCCUGAAUAUCCUUUGCAACUCCCCAAGAGUGCUUAUUUAAGUGUUAAUACUUUUAAGAGAACUGCGACGAUUAAUUGUGGAUCUCCCCCUGCCCAUUGCCUGCUUGAGGGGCACCACUACUCCAGCCCAGAAGGAAAGGGGGGCAGCUCAGUGGCCCCAAGAGGGAGCUGAUAUCAUGAGGAUAACAUUGGCGGGAGGGGAGUUAACUGGCAGGCAUGGCAAGGUUGCAUAUGUAAUAAAGUACAAGCUGUUAAAAAACCUGGA